rnacentral:rRNA from 1 species
UACAGAGGUCCCAAGCGUUGUUCGGAUUCACUGGGCGUAAAGGGUGCGUAGGUGGUCAGGUAAGUCGGAUGUGAAAUCUCCGAGCUCAACUCGGAAACUGCAUUGGAUACUAUCCGGCUCGAGGAAUGGAGGGGAGACUGGAAUACUUGGUGUAGCAGUGAAAUGCGUAGAUAUCAAGUGGAACACCAGUGGCGAAGGCGAGUCUCUGGACAUUUCCUGACGCUGAGGCACGAAAGCCAGGGGAGCAAACGGG